UUUAUUUUGACUGAGUUUCGGCAGCUUUGCUGGGGCUUAGCUUUGCCAAAAUCUUUAACUUACAUCCAUCAUACUCAAUCAAGCCACCUGCUGUUGGAAAUAUCUAUGAUGUUUUUCUUUUUUGCCUCCAAAAUUUUUUCAGAUGUAUUUUCAAUAUGCGCCUGGUUUUACUGACAAACAAGUAUUUAUGUCUGUAUUUUCUAGGAUAAACUUCUGUUAGGAAGUGCCAAGCACAAAAAUAAACUAUUAUAGAAGAGUAUUGCAGUUGUUAUGUUUAAAGUCUUCUAGGAAGAUUUGAUUAUAUUUUGUCUAAGUUGUCUUUUCCUGUAGACUUGGAUUUUAUGCAAUCUGAUAGUUACUCAUUUGAAAUUACACUUCUUGUGUAGUGUGUACAUUUUUAGGCUGUAAUACUCACAAGGGUUCACUAUUUAAACAACAUUGCCAAGACACACCAAAAAAGUACUUAGCUCUUAAUUCCUGUCAUUUUGUCUGUCAUGGAGUUUUGGCCCCAACACAAGCCACUAACUCAAGGCAGCUCCACCACAACACUGGAAUUAAGUGUUUAAAAGAAAAGCCAUUCUUGGAUGCAAUGACUGUAAUUUAAGUUCUCAAUAGAAAUCCUACAGUUUACUGUGGUCAGUGACCCCCCAGAUGAUGAAGAGGAUCUUGAAUGUGAAGAUAUUGGUUUUGCUUAUGUCAGUUUGAGAAAGAUAUUCCAGGAGCAAAGAGAUAUCAUUGAGCAAGAUAUUGAUGUUUUCAAUUCAAAAGAUGAUAGUGCAGUAAUUGGGAAGCUCAAAGUAACAGUGGAAGCCCUCCAUGUGCUGCGUUCAGUCUAUGAGGAAUGCGAAGAAGACUGGGAGGCAUGAAAGGGAAGUUUGCCUACAGAAGCUGCUUCUCCCAGUGUAAAUACAUGCUUGAUAGUGCUUCAAAGAUGAGAUCUUUGUAAUUCUUACAGUAUAUUUAAUGUAUAAUUUAUAUGAAAAGGACGCUUGAUUUGUAGUUGUAAAGUUUUGUAUACUUUUCAGUCUGUUUGUUUUUAUAUUUUCCCCCUAAGGCUAAGAAUCUCUCCACAAUGGACAACGUCUUGUAAAUAAUUAAUACCUACAUGAUUGAAUGUUGUGCUUUAUUUGCAUUUUCAUGAUUUUUUCAUACAUAAAACAGUAAUAAAAAUGCAAGUAAAAUUUUUAAUUUUUAAUAAAAAAACCAUAAGCCUUAGAAAACUGAUUAAAAAUACUUUUAUGUUAUCCCUAAUCACCCCACUAAAUGGAAUGCCUGUGAUUAGCCUCAUUAAGAAUUUUAUACUAUGAAGAUUUUAUUAAAAGCAAUAUAUGAAAAUUACUUGGAUUAAUGUGUUAAUCUGCCUCUUUAAAAUGCUAAUAUCCAUUUUAUGCACAUUAAAUCUCAGUAUGUGUUUUCUUUGAUGCAUGCAGUUCCUAUCAAUUAAAUAUAAAAAAUGAGGCUAGUUGCAGGACUUAUUAAAUUACUGCAACCUUUUUUUAAAUAACUUUUACCCUUCUACUAACAUUAUAAUCAGCUGUUUAUGAUUAUCCUGAUUUGAAGUAGGGGGAGGGCAGGCACAUUAAUUUUUUUUGUACAGUCAAAGAUUUACUUUCAGCCAACAUCUGUCAAAGUGCAAAAAGAAGCCAUACAGCAGCAAAUUUUGCUUCACCUGGUUUGAGCUUUGGGGACAGGCAGUUGUAUUUUUGUUUGUUUUUUGUCACUUUCAGAACUUACAUCAAACAUAUAUAAUGAAUUGUUAGACCAGUGUCUAGCUUGGAAAGUUAAUUUUCCAGCUUUUAACCAAUCUCAGUGAAGGAUUUAAUUGAUAUUUUUAAUGGAGCUGUGAAUCAAUGCUCCAAAAGGAUUGUCUCUUGAGAACGAGGAUAUACGUUUCAUUUUUUAAUUUACUUUUUUAUUUGUAAUUUUCUUCAAAAGAUUUUAUAGGCUGUGGAUUUCUACUGUUUGCAAACAGGCUAUGUUUCUUCAUAAGCAUAUAUAAAGUAUUCAGACAGAUAAGUAAUUUAUUAAAAUCUACCUAAUUUGCCGUGAUAUAUUAAAUCUCUGCUUCAGUGAUCACAGACCAUUUCAUUUAGAGAAUUAGGCAUUCCCUCUUUGUGUGAUUAAAGCUCUGGAAAAUGAGUUCUUUGCUCCUAUUUGUGAACAUUCAAAGCCUGCUAAUGGCAAGAAGAUGGAAUAGAUUAUGAGACAAUUCAUUACAGUUCAACAGAAAAAAAAAACAGCUAUAAUGCAGAAAUGCAAGUAUGAAUAUCUGCAUAUAGUUUGAACCAUCUGUGCUCUAAUGGCUUCAGUAAUGGCUCUUCGUCUUCAGUGGGCUUUGAAAUGACAUCCAUACAAUAUUAAUUUGUUGAUGUACAUUAUGAGGCCAAUGGAAUGAAUAUAUUCUGGCCACGGAAAUCUGUAAAUUCCAGGAUGAUUCAAUGGUUGACUCCAUUUUAGGACCCACCAUCUUCAGUAGUACUUCUCAACCAGCCUUUGCCAGUCCUCACAGCAUUUCAUUCCUCUGGAACUUUUAGGAGACCACAGACAGCUGCAUUCCUAAACCCCUCCAUUCUUCAGUUAAUGGCCAUAUGUUUGUUGUCAUUUGGGCUGGCGCUUAGUUCAUCAUUUUGGCCACUAUUUCUAGCUUUUUUUGGCUCUGUGCAUCUAUAUUGUCAGUAAGACUGUUAUUAUACAUUACAAUAAUUUGAAACAGCUAGAUUCAACACUGAGAUUAACUGAGUGGCUUUUUAGAAAUUUAGUUGCGGUAUUCUGCCAGGAGGUUCUUAUUAUUCUUCUAAUACUUUGCAAACCAAACUAAAUAUCCUGCGCAUAAACAAAGAAGCAAAUUGUAUUGAGUUUUCGUAUGUGACUGUUUACUGACUUGCAGGAGAACUAUGUAACUGGGGCUUGUUUUCUUCUGAAAUAAACCAUGUGGUAAAAUUAGAAAA